GAUGUAUAGCUUAGUUGGCAGAGCAGGACACUCUUAAUGUCAAGGUCGGGGGUUCAAAUCCCUCUACAUCC
rnacentral:tRNA from 1 species